UGGUACAUUGGCAUUGAAAUGGACACACGGGGACAACACAUCCCCUCAUUAUCUCGCACAACAGCACCUGAGCGGGAUUCAAGCGUGCCCAGUCUGAAACCCGCAUCAAAAUUCAUCUUUACAAGAGGGUGCACCGGAGGGGACCACCUAACAGUCGACUGCAUCUGUUCCCCUGGUAGCCGACUCUCAAGCUCCUCAAUUCCAAAGUACAGUACAAUGUUAUAUGAUUGGCCAAAGCUUGUAUUGCGCCUUCAUGAAUAAACUUGUUCGGAGCUGUCCAAUGGGCUCAACAAGCAACAAAAAUCACCCGUUCUAAUGCUCCCCC
rnacentral:lncRNA from 1 species